rnacentral:rRNA from 1 species
GAUGAACGCUGGCGGCGUGCCUAAUACAUGCAAGUCGAGCGAACGGACGAGAAGCUUGCUCCUCUGAUGUUAGCGGCGGACGGGUGAGUAACACGUGGAUAACCUACCUAUAAGACUGGGAUAACUUCGGGAAACCGGAGCUAAUACCGGAUAAUAUUUUGAACCGCAUGGUUCAAAAGUGAAAGACGGCCUUGCUGUCACUUAUAGAUGGAUCCGCGCUGCAUUAGCUAGUUGGUAAGGUAACGGCUUACCAAGGCAACGAUGCAUAGCCGACCUGAGAGGGUGAUCGGCCACACUGGAACUGAGACACGGUCCAGACUCCUACGGGAGGCAGCAGUAGGGAAUCUUCCGCAAUGGGCGAAAGCCUGACGGAGCAACGCCGCGUGAGUGAUGAAGGUCUUCGGAUCGUAAAACUCUGUUAUUAGGGAAGAACAAAUGUGUAAGUAACUGUGCACAUCUUGACGGUACCUAAUCAGAAAGCCACGGCUAACUACGUG